rnacentral:rRNA from 1 species
CCUACGGGAGGCAGCAGUGAGGAAUAUUGGUCAAUGGUCGGGAGACUGAACCAGCCAAGCCGCGUGAGGGAUGAAGGUACAGAGUAUCGUAAACCUCUUUUGUCAGGGAACAAAGGCGGGGACGCGUCCCCGGAUGAGUGUACCUGAAGAAAAAGCAUCGGCUAACUCCGUGCCAGCAGCCGCGGUAAUACGGAGGAUGCGAGCUUUCUCCGGAUUUAGUGGGUUUAAAGGGUGCGUAGGCGGUCGUGUAAGUCAGCGGUCAAAGCCCGGGGCUCAACCCCGGCCCGCCGUUGAAACUGGCAGUCUCGAGUUGGAGAGAAGUAUGCGGAAUGCGCGGUGUAUCGGUGAAAUGCAUAGAUAUCGCGCAGAACUCCGAUUGCGAAGGCAGCAUGCCGGCUCCACACUGACGCUGAGGCACGAAAGCGUGGGUAUCGAACAGGAUUAGAUACCCCUGUAGUC